rnacentral:rRNA from 1 species
UACGUAGGGUGCGAGCGUUGUCCGGAAUUAUUGGGCGUAAAGGGCUCGUAGGCGGUUUGUCACGUCGGGGAGUGAAAACUCAGGGCUCAACCCUGAGCGUGCUUCCGAUACGGGCAGACUAGAGGUAUGCAGGGGAGAACGGAAUUCCUGGUGUAGCGGUGGAAUGCGCAGAUAUCGGGAAGAACACCCGUGGCGAAGGCGGCUCUCUGGAACGCAACUGACGCUGAGACGCGAAAGCGUGGGGAGCAA